rnacentral:lncRNA from 1 species
CUGGAAUUCAAUCUGCCAGGUGGGAAGCAUGUACUAACGAGACUCUCAGUCUUCCUUUGUGGAGAGUCCCUGUUUCCUUUUCUUUUCCCUUUUCACCCAAUAAAUUCCUUUUUUCUCCCCUUUUAAAUUAUAUGUGAGCCUUUUUUCAUGAUCAUGUGACGAGGACCCUGUCUUUAGCUGAGCUACGGAGAGAGUCCUGCAACACCUUCACGUAGACAUUCUUGAGAAUGGAGCUAUUCUGGAGAGAGAAUGGCAGUGGAUUAAAAGUUCUGAACCUGCCUGGGUCUCAAUCACAGAAACCUGAAACAGCCAUUGGACCCCCAUUGCUAAUCCCUGUGCAGUCUGUAGUCACACCUGGAGUGUCAGCUUUUAUAGGUGGAGGGAAGGAAUGCUAUCCAUGAUGAUGCAAAGCUG